rnacentral:rRNA from 1 species
AUCCUGGCUCAGAUUGAACGCUGGCGGCAGGCCUAACACAUGCAAGUCGAGCGGUAGCACAGAGAGCUUGCUCUCGGGUGACGAGCGGCGGACGGGUGAGUAAUGUCUGGGAAACUGCCUGAUGGAGGGGGAUAACUACUGGAAACGGUAGCUAAUACCGCAUAANGUCGCAAGACCAAAGUGGGGGACCUUCGGGCCUCAUGCCAUCAGAUGUGCCCAGAUGGGAUUAGCUAGUAGGUGGGGUAACGGCUCACCUAGGCGACGAUCCCUAGCUGGUCUGAGAGGAUGACCAGCCACACUGGAACUGAGACACGGUCCAGACUCCUACGGGAGGCAGCAGUGGGGAAUAUUGCACAAUGGGCGCAAGCCUGAUGCAGCCAUGCCGCGUGUGUGAAGAAGGCCUUCGGGUUGUAAAGCACUUUCAGCGGGGAGGAAGGCGUUAAGGUUAAUAACCUUGNCGAUUGACGUUACCCGCAGAAGAAGCACCGGCUAACUCCGUGCCAGCAGCC